AUGCAAUGGUGAGGACAUUUCGGCAAAAAUUCCUUGAACCUCUCCCAUGCCUCAUACAAAGACUCGCCUUCACAUUUUUGAAAGGACGUUCUCCGUUAUCUCCUUCU